rnacentral:tRNA from 1 species
GGAGUUGUGGCUUAGUGGCAGAGUGCUCGCCUAGCAUGUGUGAGGCACUGGGUUCGAUCCUCAGCAACACAU